CCCCUUGGCCAGGGCCAUCUUGUCUGCUCCUUACUGUACAUGUGGCUGGCAGAGAAGGGAAGGUGGAGCCGCUAUUUUGAACAUGAUUGGCACAACUGCCAGCAUCUAUAUCUGCAGCUUGAUUUUACAGGCUGCUCUUUGUUAGAAAGGAACAUGAUUUGGGGCUACUUUUCAUUAAAAGGAAAACUGUACCGAAGACUUCCAUACCCUCACUAUCUGUGAUCCCAUCUUGGAUACCACAUUACCUUAAACACUGCCUCAGCCAGGUGAUCAAGGUCAACGUCUACUGUGAUAAGUCAUGGUUUUGGUGUGUACCCUUGAUGUGAUGUGAUAAAAAUGGCACUUUACCUCUGUGGUCUUCCUCUGAAAAAUCCCGUAACAGCAGCCUAAUCAUGAGAAGCAUAUCAACAAAACUCAGACUCAGGGACAUUCUACAAAAUACCAGGCUGUCCCUCCCUGAAAUUGUCAAGUUCACCAAAAACAAGGUGAAUCUAAGAAACCUGUUACAGCCAAGAGGAGCCUAAGAAGACAUGAGGACUAAAUAUAACAUGGAAUUCGGGAUAGGAUUGUGCUACAGAAAAUGUAUGUGCUAAUGUGAGAUGUUAACAGUUGGAGAAACUCAGUUUUGGGUAUAAGGAAUUCUCUGUACUAUGUUUAUCUAAAAACAAUUCCAUGGUGAGCAAACUUAAGCAUAGAAAUGUUAAAUAAAUUGUCCAAAAUAGAGAAGUAAAUAGCAGUGCCAGGUUUCAAGCAUAAGAAUCAUCAACUCUGAACUUUAAACACAGCUCUGUAUGGUACUUUUGUUUAUAUCAAUGCCUAGAUAGAUAAAUAGGUAGAUAGAUAAUUUCCAAGUGCUAGAAACAAAAAAGGAACUAAAACUGAUAAAGAAUAUAAAUGAGGCCAGGCAGGGUGGCUCACACCUGUAAUCCCAGCAUUUUGGGAGGCCGAGGCAGGCAGAUCACUGAAGGUUCGGAGUUCAAGACCAGCCUGGCCAACUGGGGAAACCCUGUCUCUACUAAAAAAAAAAAAAAAUAGCCAGGCAUGGUGGCAUGUGCCUGUGAAGCAAGAGAUGUGAGAGGAAAAACAAAUUUUUCCUCUUUCUUUUGGUAUGGGCAGCUUCCCCCUUGAAUCCCUCCUCACUCCUUGUGAUUUUACCCUGCUCUGUAAGUUUUAUGAGUUUAUAGAUUCCUGUUUUCUGUAACUAGUGUCUGUAAGUCUCUGUAGCACCGUGGAGGUAAUGAGACAUGCUUGAGCAAGCUUAGAUUGCAGCCAUCUGGGCGCCAUAGCGAAGGACACGAGAUAAGGCUGUGCAGGCAUCUUGAGCAAACCUAGAUAACAGCCACCUGGCCUGCACAGCAAGAAUCAUGUGUAAGCUUGAGUUAGGAACCUGUCACAGUUUGAUUAACUGCCUUUGUUCUGCUUCUGUAAGCUUGCUUUCCACACCCCACAAGCUUUGCGCCACUGGCAAGCCACCCUCCUUCAGUUGCAUGAAUAAAAGUCAAGCCCUGUCUUCUUUUGUUGCUCAGCCUCUGGAUAUUAAUCCACUAAGCCAGUGGCAACCUAAAUAAAAUCCUCCUGUUCCACCCA
rnacentral:lncRNA from 1 species